AACGAACGCUGGCGGCAUGCCUAACACAUGCCAGUCGAACGAGACCUUCGGGUCUAGUGGCGCACGGGUGCGUAACGCGUGGGAACCUGCCCUUAGGUUCGGAAUAACUCCCCGAAAGGGGUGCUAAUACCGGAUAAUGUCUUCGGACCAAAGAUUUAUCGCCUUUGGAUGGGCCCGCGUUGGAUUAGCUAGUUGGUAGGGUAAAAGCCUACCAAGGCGACGAUCCAUAGCUGGUCUGAGAGGAUGAUCAGCCUCACUGGGACUGAGACACGGCCCAGACUCCUACGGGAGGCAGCAGUGGGGAAUAUUGGACAAUGGGCGAAAGCCUGAUCCAGCAAUGCCGCGUGAGUGAUGAAGGCCUUAGGGUUGUAAAGCUCUUUUACCCGGGAUGAUAAUGACAGUACCGGGAGAAUAAGCGCCGGCUAACUCCGUG
rnacentral:rRNA from 1 species